rnacentral:tRNA from 1 species
GCAUCCAUGGAUGAAUGGUUAAAGUUCCCAUCCCAUAAUUAGUGAACUCAUGGGUUCAAUUCCUAUUGGAUGUA